rnacentral:rRNA from 1 species
AUAGUAGCUUGCUACUUUUGCCGGCGAGCGGCGGACGGGUGAGAUAAUGCCUGGGGAUCUGCCCAGNUCGAGGGGGAUAACANAUUGGAAACGACUGCUAAUACCGCAUACGCCCUACGGGGGAAAGGAGGGGACCUUCGGGCCUUUCGCGAUUGGAUGAACCCAGGUGGGAUUAGCUAGUUGGUGGGGUAAUGGCUCACCAAGGCGACGAUCCCUAGCUGGUCUGANAGGAUGAUCAGCCACACUGGAACUGAGACACGGUCCAGACUCCUACGGGAGGCAGCAGUGGGGAAUAUUGCACAAUGGGGGAAACCCUGAUGCAGCCAUGCCGCGUGUGUGAAGAAGGCCUUCGGGUUGUAAAGCACUUUCAGCGAGGAGGAAAGGUUGGCGCCUAAUACGUGUCAACUGUGACGUUACUCGCAGAAGAAGCACCGGCUAACUCCGUGCCAGCAGCCGCGGUAAUACGGAGGGUGCAAGCGUUAAUCGGAAUUACUGGGCGUAAAGCGCACGCAGGCGGUUGGAUAAGUUAGAUGUGAAAGCCCCGGGCUCAACCUGGGAAUUGCAUUUAAAACUGUCCAGCUAGAGUCUUGUAGAGGGGGGUAGAAUUCCAGGUGUAGCGGUGAAAUGCGUANAGAUCUGGAGGAAUACCGGUGGCGAAGGCGGCCCCCUGGACAAAGACUGACGCUCAGGUGCGAAAGCGUGGGGAGCAAACAGGAUUANAUACCCUGGUANUCCACGCCGUAAACGAUGUCGAUUUGGAGGCUGUGUCCUUGAAACGUGGCUUCCGGAGCUANCGCGUUAAUCGACGCCUGGGGAGUACGGC